AGAGAACCGAUAAUAGAGAAGAGUAGAUGAGAUACACAUGGAAAGAGAAGAAAUGUCUGAGGCUGAAAACAUUUCUACAUGAUGACUGAUCGAAUGACACUCUGUAGGUUUCAUCUUGAACGGCACCUAUGCUUAGUAGAGGUUGAACGCGAAUUUAAGCGUUAUUAAAAAAGUGGAAGCAUACGUGCUUCAAUUAGGGUGGCACCACGGGUAUAAUACUCUCGUCCCUACU
rfam:Bacillus gaemokensis strain JCM 15801 contig1, whole genome shotgun sequence.